AGGGUGUAAACGCUGCGGGCUUGGUGUUGGGGGUCCGUUAGUUGGGCGGCCCACGUGCCGGAGAGAAGUUGUUAAGCCUGCUGCUUGGGGAGGUAUGUCCGCAAGGAUGAAACUUAAAGGAAUUGGCGGGGGGAGGCACCGCAACGGGAGGAGCGUGCGGUUCAAUUGGAUUCAACGCCGAAAAACUACACCAGGAGCGACGGAUAUAUGAAGGUCAAGACUGAUGACUUUACCUUGAUUUCCGUAGAGGAGGUGCAUGGCGUGUGACUGU
rnacentral:rRNA from 1 species